AAACUUACCUGACUGGAGGCGUCUCGACAUCAUGAAAGCGGACCCCCAUGGUCAGACCCUUGCAUUGCACUUUAGCUUGGGUUGACCUGUGUGGCAGCGUCGGAUUGAAGUUCGCUAAAAGCUAAAUUUUCGUGUGUGGCACUGCCUUACCGCGUCGCUACG
rnacentral:snRNA from 13 species